AUCCAGCUGAUAAGUCCCAGAUGGAACCAAACGCGCUUCCUGGAU
rnacentral:hammerhead_ribozyme from 1 species